rnacentral:rRNA from 1 species
UACGUAGGUGGCAAGCGUUGUCCGGAUUUAUUGGGCGUAAAGCGCGCGCAGGCGGUUCUUUAAGUCUGAUGUGAAAUCUUGCGGCUUAACCGCAAGCGGUCAUUGGAAACUGGGGAACUUGAGUACAGAAGAGGAAAGUGGAAUUCCACGUGUAGCGGUGAAAUGCGUAGAUAUCAGGAGGAACACCGGUGGUGUAGACGGCUUUCUGGACCGUAACUGACGCUGAGACACGAAAGCGUGGGUAGCAAACAGG